GGUCCUAUGGUGUAGUUGGUUAUCACUCGAGGCUUUGAUCCUCGCAACCUGAGUUCGAAUCUCGGUAGGACCU